rnacentral:tRNA from 1 species
GGGGAUGUCGCAUAGUGGCUAUUGCAGCAGACUGUAAAUCUGUCACCGUUUGGUAUCGUUGGUUCGAGUCCAUCCAUCCCCACAA